GCACGCGCCGUGGCGCCCCCGGGCGUAACCCCAGCUGCUGUGACGGGCCAGGGCUCGCAGCUCGCCUGCUAGAGUUUGUGGCGCGCCCUCGGGAUCAGGGCACUGGGGUUUGAAGGGGCUGCAGCGUGGGAAGCCUUCAAUUUUUUUUUUUUGUAAGCUGCGUGUGCUCAGAUUGAGGAAGCAGUUUUGUCACACAUGUUCAACACGUUCCACGCUGGUCACAAGCUAGCAAGGAUGAAACUAAUGGAAUAACAUCAACUAAGCCUUCCUGCUUCUCAGGCCCUGAGGAAUGGAGUGUACUAAUUAUGUACUCUGAAGCUAUAGGUGAGGAAACCUAGGCUCAAGUUGACACUCAAGCUCACCUUGCAAGAUAGUGGCAGAGCUGAUAAGAUCUCCUUCCUCUACCUUUAGUUUGCCGCUUCUAAUCUAAUGGACUUGGGAGAAGCCACUUACGAGAAUGGUAUAUAAGCCAAGAGCAAAUGAACUGACGUCUGAGGGGCUGGCUAUCCAAACAACAAAAGAUGGAGCAUCAGAUCAUUCAUUGAAGAGUUUCUUGCUCUUACAAGGUCUUUGCAAUGAUUUGAGAGAGGAAGUUGCUAUAUAAUGCUAUCUGGAUGAGUUCUUUGUAUUUUUACUCUGCAUUUUAUUAUUUAGUAUUUAUUCUGUGUUUUGGUUAUAUCACAAUAUUUUGGUAGUUUGUAAUAGAACUUCAAAAAUUCAGGUUUAUUUAUAAGGCAUAUUUUAAGAUGUCUAAUUUUCACAUAUGGAAAAUUUGAGGAAGAUAUUUGCUCAAAGCUACACAUCAUAUUUCAAGCACAGACAAGACUAGAAUUCAGACUUCCUGACCGUUAGGACUAUUCAAACAUUCAUAAUCCAUCAUCCAUCUAGGAGUUUCAGUAAAUAGGCCAUAGUCUUUAAGCUGUAGAAAAUUUUAUUUCUAAGGCCUUCAAAAUAGAUUCG
rnacentral:lncRNA from 10 species